GAUAACAAACAAUGCAGCGAAAGACAUUGUCAGUGGCCGGCAGGAAAGAGAUCCAUACUGCAUUAAUUUUCCUCAAUCCGAUUGUAGUAAAAACACAGGAUUGAGCACAAACAUGCUGUGACAGGUUAUGGGUUUUAACAGCGUCUCCAACCUCUGGUUGUAGGGUGGCAGGAAAUUUUUUGAAAGGGCAAGUAGCAGGGAAAAGGAUGAAUUCUAAGGAGGCCAUAAAUAACUGGCGUCUGAAGAA